rnacentral:rRNA from 1 species
GGCUAAAUACUACCUAGUGAUCGAUAGUGAACCAGUACCGUGAGGGAAAGGUGAAAAGCACCCCGGAAGGGGAGUGAAAGAGAUCCUGAAACCGUGUGCCUACAAAUAGUCAGAGCCCGUUAACGGGUGAUGGCGUGCCUUUUGUAGAAUGAACCGGCGAGUUACGAUCCCGUGCGAGGUUAAGCUGAAGAGGCGGAGCCGUAGCGAAAGCGAGUCUGAAUAGGGCGUUUAGUACGUGGUCGUAGACCCGAAACCAGGUGAUCUACCCAUGUCCAGGGUGAAGUUCAGGUAACACUGAAUGGAGGCCCGAACCCACGCACGUUGAAAAGUGCGGGGAUGAGGUGUGGGUAGCGGAGAAAUUCCAAUCGAACCUGGAGAUAGCUGGUUCUCCCCGAAAUAGCUUUAGGGCUAGCCUUAAGUGUAAGAGUCUUGGAGGUAGAGCACUGAUUGGACUAGGGGUCCCCAUCGGAUUACCGAAUUCAGUCAAACUCCGAAUGCCAAUGACUUAUCCUUAGGAGUCAGACUGCGAGUGAUAAGAUCCGUAGUCAAAAGGGAAACAGCCCAGACCGCCAGCUAAGGUCCCAAAGUGUGUAUUAAGUGGAAAAGGAUGUGGAGUUGCUUAGACAACUAGGAUGUUGGCUUAGAAGCAGCCACCAUUUAAAGAGUGCGUAAUAGCUCACUAGUCGAGUGACUCUGCGCCGAAAAUGUACCGGGGCUAAAUACACCACCGAAGCUGCGGAUUGAUACCUAUGGUAUCAGUGGUAGGGGAGCGUUCUAAGUGCUGUGAAGUCAGAUCGUAAGGACUGGUGGAGCGCUUAGAAGUGAGAAUGCCGGUAUGAGUAGCGAAAGACGGGUGAGAAUCCCGUCCACCGAAUGCCUAAGGUUUCCUGAGGAAGGCUCGUCCGCUCAGGGUUAGUCAGGACCUAAGCCGAGGCCGACAGGCGUAGGCGAUGGACAACAGGUUGAUAUUCCUGUACCACCUCUUUAUCGUUUGAGCAAUGGAGGGACGCAGAAGGAUAGAAGAAGCGUGCGAUUGGUUGAGCACGUCCAAGCAGUUAGGCUGGUAAGUAGG